rnacentral:rRNA from 1 species
UUGAACGCUGGCGGCAUGCCUACACAUGAAUCGAACGCAGCACGCAGUAGCAAUACUGUGGGUGCGAGUGGCGACGGGUGAUUAAUGCAUCGGGACCUGCCCAGACGUGGGGAUAACGUAGGGAAACUUACGCUAAUACCGCAUACGUCCUACGGGAGAAAGCGGGGGAUUCGAAAGACCUCGCGCGGUUGGAUGGACCGAUGUUCGAUUAGCUAGUUGGUGAGGUAACGGCUCACCAAGGCGACGAUCGAUAGCUGGUCUGAGAGGAUGAUCAGCCACACUGGGACUGAGACACGGCCCAGACUCCUACGGGAGGCAGCAGUGGGGAAUAUUGGACAAUGGGCGAAAGCCUGAUCCAGCAUGCCGCGUGUGUGAAGAAGGCCUUCGGGUUGUAAAGCACUUUAUCAGGAGCGAAAUACUGCCGGCUAAUACCCGGCGGGGCUGACGGUACCUGAGGAAUAAGCACCGGCUAACUUCGUGCCAGCAGCCGCGGUAAUACGAAGGGUGCAAGCGUUAAUCGGAAUUACUGGGCGUAAAGCGUGCGUAGGCGGUUCUUUAAGUCUGCUGUGAAAUCCCCGGGCUCAACUGGGAAUGGCAGUGGAUACUGGAGAGCUAGAGUGUGAUAGAGGAUGGUGGAAUUCCGGUGUAGCGGGUGAAAUGCGUAGAGAUCGGGAGGAACAUCAGUGGCGAAGGCGGCCAUCUGGAUCACACUGACGCUGAGGCACGAAAGCGUGGGGAGCAAACAGGAUUAGAUACCCUGGUAGUCCACGCCCUAAACGAUGCGAACUGGAUGUUGGUCUCAACUCGGAGAUCAGUGUCGAAGCUAACGCGUUAAGUUCGCCGCCUGGGGAGUACGGUCGCAAGACUGAAACUCAAAGGAACUUGACGGGGGCCCGCACAAGCGGUGGAGUAUGUGGUUUAAUUCGAUGCAACGCGAAGAACCUUACCUGGCCUUGACAUGUCUGGAAUCCUGCAGAGAUGCGGGAGUGCCUUCGGGAAUCAGAACACAGGUGCUGCAUGGCUGUCGUCAGCUCGUGUCGUGAGAUGUUGGGUUAAGUCCCGCAACGAGCGCACCUUGUCCUUAGUUGCCAGCACGUAAUGGUGGGAACUCUAAGGAGACUGCCGGUGACAAACCGGAGGAAGGCGGGGAUGACGUCAAGUCAUCAUGGCCCUUACGGCCAGGGCUACACACGUACUACAAUGGUCGGUACAGAGGGUUGGCAAUACCGCGAGGUGGAGCCAUCCCAGAAAGCCGAUCCCAGUCCGGAUCGAAGUCUGCAACUCGACUUCGUGAAGUCGGAAUCGCUAGUAAUCGCAGAUCAGCUAUGCUGCGGUGAAUACGUUCCCGGGCCUUGUACACACCGCCCGUCACACCAUGGGAGUGAGUUGCUCCAGAAGCCGUUAAGGCCUAACCGCAAGGAGGGCGACGACCACGGAGUGGUCCAUGACUGGGGUG